UUUCCCUUCCGCUGAUGUUUCACAUAAUAUCCACUUACUGGAGCCUCAACAGCCUGACCCUCCUGCUUCAGUUCCUAAUGAGGACAGAGAUUAUCCUCUUUUGGAAUUGUAUCACUCUGCCUCUGAAGAGCAGGAAGAGGAGCAGUUCAAUUUGGAAGACACUCCUCUAGAAUUCCAGCAGUUUCGUAAUUUCGGUGAGGAAAUCAGAUUGAGGGACAGGCCAACACUACGCCAGUUGCCCAUAUUCUGUCCAGAGUGUGAUACGAUUCUAUUUCCCUUCAGUCCCGAUGAGGAUCGACAGGAUACUCGUCCUGCUUCAUCUCAGGAGGCCUCAGCUGCAGGAAAUAGACCAGGCAUCGGUCAUUGGAGCUUUUCCAGUACUGUUUUAUUUCCCCA